CUACAGAUAUCGCUCAUGGGAUCGAUUACAUUCAUCAUUGUGCAGAUUCAAAUUCAGGCUUUGUGCAUAACCAUAUAAAGAGUUCGAGCAUUUUAGUAGCUGAAGAUUUGUUGGAUGCCAAGAUUUGUCAUUUCGGGGCAGCGGAGCUAUGCGGGGAAAUAGAGGGAAGUGAAAGAUCUGAGGCAAGAAGUUUUGGCAGGAGUAAUAGUAAAGGCAAGAAAAUUGAAGGGACAAGAGGAUACAUGUCGCCGGAGUUUCAAGCAAGUGGGGUUGUGACGCAGAAAUGCGAUGUUUAUGCUUUUGGGAUGGUGGUUUUGGAGCUGGUGUCAGGAGAGGAGGCGUUGAAUUAUGUGUUUGAUGAAGGGAGAGGAGAGUUUAGCAGAGUUGGUGUGAUAGAGAGGGCAAGAGAGGCAGUGGGUAGCGGUGGCGGUGGGGGAGAGUAGUAGUGGUAGUU
rnacentral:misc_RNA from 1 species